CUGCUUUUGUGGGGUGCUCGAGUGGCGAACGGGUGAGUAACACGUGAGUAACCUGCCCUUGACUUUGGGAUAACUUCAGGAAACUGGGGCUAAUACCGGAUAGGAGCUCCUGCUGCAUGGUGGGGGUUGGAAAGUUUCGGCGGUUGGGGAUGGACUCGCGGCUUAUCAGCUUGUUGGUGGGGUAGUGGCUUACCAAGACUUUGACGGGUAGCCGGCCUGAGAGGGUGACCGGCCACAUUGGGACUGAGAUACGGCCCAGACUCCUACGGGAGGCAGCAGUGGGGAAUAUUGCACAAUGGGCGGAAGCCUGAUGCAGCAACGCCGCGUGCGGGAUGACGGCCUUCGGGUUGUAAACCGCUUUCGCCUGUGACGAAGCGUGAGUGACGGUAAUGGGUAAAGAAGCACCGGCUAACUACGUGCCAGCAGCCGCGGUGAUACGUAGGGUGCGAGCGUUGUCCGGAUUUAUUGGGCGUAAAGGGCUCGUAGGUGGUUGAUCGCGUCGGAAGUGUAAUCUUGGGGCUUAACCCUGAGCGUGCUUUCGAUACGGGUUGACUUGAGGAAGGUAGGGGAGAAUGGAAUUCCUGGUGGAGCGGUGGAAUGCGCAGAUAUCAGG
rnacentral:rRNA from 1 species